GGCUCUAUAGUUCAAGGGAUAGAAUAAAAGUUUCCUAAACUUUAGAUUCAGGUUCGAGUCCUGGUGGAGCUACGA
rnacentral:tRNA from 1 species